UGAAUAUCGGAUUAUCGGACGUGGUUGG
rnacentral:piRNA from 1 species